UGGGGAAUCUUGGGCAAUGGGCGAAAGCCUGAUCCAGCCAUGCCGCGUGAGUGACGAAGGUCUUCGGAUUGUAAAGCUCUUUUGGCGGGGACGAUAAUGACGGUACCCGCAGAAUAAGCCCCGGCUAACUUCGUGCCAGCAGCCGCGGUAAUACGAAGGGGGCUAGCGUUGUUCGGAAUUACUGGGCGUAAAGCGCACGUAGGCGGAUUUGUAAGUCAGGGGUGAAAUCCCGGGGCUCAACCUCGGAACUGCCCUUGAUACUGCAAAUCUCGAGUCCGAUAGAGGUGAGUGGAAUUCCUAGUGUAGAGGUGAAAUUCGUAGAUAUUAGGAAGAACACCAGUGGCGAAGGCGGCUCACUGGAUCGGUACUGACGCUGAGGUGCGAAAGCGUGGGGAGCAAACAGGAUUAGAUACCCAAGUAGUCCCUGAGCGGGCUGGCAAGGCGCAU
rnacentral:rRNA from 1 species